rnacentral:rRNA from 1 species
UACGGGGGGGACAAGCGUUGUUCGGAUUUACUGGGCGUAAAGGGCGCGUAGGCGGGCCUAUAAGUCGGGUGUGAAAACUCCGAGCUCAACUCGGAGCCGGCAUUCGAUACUGUCGGUCUUGAGUACAGGAGAGGAGAAUGGAAUUCCAGGUGUAGCGGUGAUAUGCGUAGAUAUCUGGAAGAACACCGGUAGCGAAGGCGGUUCUCUGGCCUGAUACUGACGCUCAAGCGCGAAGGCUUGGGGAGCAAACAGG